GUGCUCACUUCAGCAGCACAUACACUAAAAUUGAAACGAUACAGAGAAGAUCAGCAUGGCCCCUGCGCACAUAAUUUUAUUCAUACUAUGGAGCAAUUUAAGAUGUAA